rnacentral:rRNA from 1 species
AUACCGGGGGAUAACAGUUAGAAAUGACUGCUAAUACCGCAUAAGCGCACGGAGCCGCAUGGCGCAGUGUGAAAAACUCCGGUGGUAUGGGAUGGAUCCGCGUCUGAUUAGCUAGUUGGCGGGGUAACGGCCCACCAAGGCAGCGAUCAGUAGCCGACCUGAGAGGGUGGCCGGCCACAUUGGGACUGAGACACGGCCCAAACUCCUACGGGAGGCAGCAGUGGGGAAUAUUGCACAAUGGGGGAAACCCUGAUGCAGCAACGCCGCGUGAGUGAAGAAGUAUUUCGGUAUGUAAAGCUCUAUCAGCAGGGAAGAAGAAGGACGGUACCUGACUAAGAAGCCCCGGCUAACUACGUGCCAGCAGCCGCGGUAAUACGUAGGGGGCGAGCGUUAUCCGGAUUUACUGGGUGUAAAGGGAGCGUAGACGGUUUUUCAAGUCUGAAGUGAAAGCCCGCGGCUCAACUGCGGAACGGCUUUGGAAACUGAGGGACUAGAGUGCUGGAGGGGCAGGCGGAAUUCCUGGUGUAGCGGUGAAAUGCGUAGAUAUCAGGAGGAACACCGGUGGCGAAGGCGGCCUGCUGGACAGUAACUGACGUUGAGGCUCGAAAGCGUGGGGAGCAAACAGGAUUAGAUACCCUGGUAGUCCACGCGGUAAACGAUGAAUGCUAGUGU